rnacentral:tRNA from 2 species
GGCAGGGUAGCUCAGUGGUAGAGCAGCGGACUCAUAAGCCGUUGGUCGGGGGUUCAAAUCCCCCCCCUGCUACCA